UGAGGAAUAUUGGUCAAUGGACGGAAGUCUGAACCAGCCAAGUAGCGUGCAGGACGACGGCCCUAUGGGUUGUAAACUGCUUUUGUAUGGGGAUAAAGUUAGGGACGUGUCCCUAUUUGCAGGUACCAUACGAAUAAGGACCGGCUAAUUCCGUGCCAGCAGCCGCGGUAAUACGGAAGGUCCAGGCGUUAUCCGGAUUUAUUGGGUUUAAAGGGAGCGUAGGCUGGAGAUUAAGUGUGUUGUGAAAUGUAGACGCUCAACGUCUGACUUGCAGCGCAUGCUGGUUUCCUUGAGUACGCACAACGUUGGCGGAAUUCGUCGUGUAGCGGUGAAAUGCUUAGAUAUGACGAAGAACUCCGAUUGCGAAGGCAGCUGACGGGAGCGCAACUGACGCUUAAGCUCGAAGGUGCGGGUAUCAAACAGGAUUAGAUACCCUGGUAGUCCGCACAGUAAACGAUGGAUGCCCGCUGUUGGUACCUGGUAUCAGCGGCUAAGCGAAAGCAUUAAGCAUCCCACCUGGGGAGUACGCCGGCAACGGUG
rnacentral:rRNA from 1 species